rnacentral:rRNA from 1 species
UACGUAGGGGGCAAGCGUUAUCCGGAUUUACUGGGUGUAAAGGGAGCGCAGACGGCAGUGCAAGUCUGGAGUGAAGGCCCGGGGCCCAACCCCGGAACUGCUCUGGAAACUGUGCGGCUAGAGUACUGGAGGGGCAGGCGGAAUUCCUAGUGUAGCGGUGAAAUGCGUAGAUAUUAGGAGGAACACCAGUGGCGAAGGCGGCCUGCUGGACAGUAACUGACGUUGAGGCUCGAAAGCGUGGGGAGCAAACAGG